UACGUAGGGGGCGAGCGUUACCCGGAUUUACUGGGCGUAAAGCGCGUGUAGGCGGCUGGUCAAGCGUGGCGUGAAAUCUCCGGGCUCAACCCGGAAACUGCAUUGCGAACUGACCUAGCUGGAGUGCAGGAGAGGGCAGCGGAAUUCCCGGUGUAGCGGUGAAAUGCGUAGAUAUCGGGAAGAACACCAGUGGCGAAGGCGGCUGCCUGGCCUGUAACUGACGCUGAGACGCGAAAGCGUGGGGAGCGAACCGG
rnacentral:rRNA from 1 species